rnacentral:snRNA from 1 species
AGCUUUCUGAGAAAGUGGCAGUAUCGUAGCCAAUGAGGUUAAUCCGAGGCGCGAUUAUUGCUAGUUGUAAACUCUGAGUCUCUGCUCUUCAGGGAAGCUCUUUUCUUUGUGUCAGUGACA